UACGGGGGGGGCAAGCGUUGUUCGGAAUUACUGGGCGUAAAGGGCUCGUAGGCGGCCAACUAAGUCAUACGUGAAAUCCCCCGGCUUAACCGGGGAACUGCGUCUGAUACUGGAUGGCUUGAGUUCGGGAGAGGGAUGCGGAAUUCCAGGUGUAGCGGUGAAAUGCGUAGAUAUCUGGAGGAACACCGGUGGCGAAGGCGGCAUCCUGGACCGACACUGACGCUGAGGAGCGAAAGCCAGGGGAGCAAACGGG
rnacentral:rRNA from 1 species